GACGAACGCUGGCGGCGUGCUUAACACAUGCAAGUCGUACGGUAAGGCCCUUUCGGGGGUACACGAGUGGCGAACGGGUGAGUAACACGUGAGUAACCUGCCCACAACUUUGGGAUAACGCUAGGAAACUGGUGCUAAUACUGGAUAUGUGCCCCUGCUGCAUGGUGGGGGUUGGAAAGCUCCGGCGGUUGUGGAUGGACUCGCGGCCUAUCAGCUUGUUGGUGGGGUAGUGGCCUACCAAGGCGGCGACGGGUAGCCGGCCUGAGAGGGUGACCGGCCACAUUGGGACUGAGAUACGGCCCAGACUCCUACGGGAGGCAGCAGUGGGGAAUAUUGCACAAUGGGCGCAAGCCUGAUGCAGCAACGCCGCGUGCGGGAUGACGGCCUUCGGGUUGUAAACCGCUUUCAGUAGGGACGAAGCUUUUUGUGACGGUACCUGCAGAAGAAGCACCGGCUAACUACGUG
rnacentral:rRNA from 1 species